GGAGGAAGCAGGGGAUCGCAAGACCUUGCGCUUUUGGAGCGGCCGAUGCCUGAUUAGCUUGUUGGUGAGGUAAAAGCUCACCAAGGCUCCGAUCAGUAGCUGGUCUGAGAGGACGACCUGCCACACUGGGACUGAGACACGGCCCAGACUCCUACGGGAGGCAGCAGUGGGGAAUUUUGGACAAUGGGGGCAACCCUGAUCCAGCCAUGCCGCGUGAGUGAAGAAGGCCUUCGGGUUGUAAAGCUCUUUCAGCCGGAACGAAACGGUCACGGUCAAUACCCGUGACUACUGACGGUGCCGGAAGAAGAAGCACCGGCUAACUACGUGCCAGCAGCCGCGGUAAUACGUAGGGUGCGAGCGUUAAUCGGAAUUACUGGGCGUAAAGCGUGCGCAGGCGGUUUUGUAAGUCAGAUGUGAAAUCCCCGGGCUUAACCUGGGAACUGCGUUUGAAACUACAAAGCUAG
rnacentral:rRNA from 1 species